rnacentral:guide_RNA from 1 species
AACGCAACAUUCGAAUGAGAUUAUGUAGAUGAAAUAUGGUAUU